rnacentral:tRNA from 1 species
GGGGUCGUAGCUCAAAUGGAAGAGCGCCCGCUUAGCAUGAGGCUGAGCGCCGCAGAACAUGCGGGAGGUAGGGGGAUCGAUGCCCUCCGACUCCA